ensembl:lncRNA
UGAAAGGCCAGGCAAGCCCAUGCACAUCAAAUAAAAAUAAAGGAAUUCUUGGCUGUAAAGGAGUAUUGUGUUAAGGCUACCUCUGAAACAGGGAGGGAUAUCCAUUUUCUUAUUGGCUUCUGGUUAAGCUGGUCAUAGAGAGAAGACCUGAUGAAUGAAUGGCCUUUGAAAUUCUCAAAUUUGCAUGUGAGGGCACAUUUGUAGAUGGAAUUGGCCAUUCCACCCAGCCCUUGGAUUGCAUCCACUGCAAUAGUUUUCUUGAUGAGUUUCCAGGGUGCACAGAUCACUACCAUGUGGUCUCGGUGGAGAGGCCUCUUAACUAGUCAGUGGCAUGUGGGAAACUGCAUUCCCUUCUGAAAACCUUGAGCAACUUUGGUUAAAAGCCUCACUGUUUUUCUUUAAUAGCAGGCUUUUUUUCCCUCCACUUAAUGGCUCUUUUCUUUUCUCUGCCAAAUUCACUGCAUUGUUGAGGAAUCAGAAAGGAUCCCAUGAAAGGGAAGUGAUGAUAUUGAAGUGGUCCGCAGGGCCUUGUGCAGGUUCAGUCCACAACGCCACCUUCACUCAAAAUAGCACAGUUACCAUUUGCCUUUUUCCCACAUUAACUCAAGAAGAUUGUUUUACUGGGAACAAAAGAUCAAGACAGAAUUUGCCUAUCUCUCUCCUCCUCCUCUUCUUUUUUCUUUUUAAUUACCGAAGUCACAUUCUUGAUAAUCAGCAGGGUGAAAGACCUGAGCACCUAGCAUGGCUCUGAGACCAUCAUUAAGAUGCCUAUUUCUGUGGAGACCCACAUUUUCAUUCAAGUUCAGAAGAGAGAAGGAGAGUAACAUGCUUCUCAGAAGCCUCUGGCAAAUGUUCUCUUACAUUAUUAUGGUUUCACUGAUAUAAAAUAUGUCCUAUGACUUUCCUACCUGUAAAGAAGUUCACGAAAGGUAUUUAUUCUACUAUUUCUCUUGAUUAAUAGCUUGGCUGGGUAUGGAAUUUUGAAAACCCUUUUCAUAAAGAACUUGAUGAUGUAGCUCUGUUUGUUUUUUAGUUUCUAGAGUUGCCUUGAGACUGUGAUAUUUUUCUUAUGCCCGAUCCUAAUAAAUGAUCUUUUUGUUCUCUCUCAAAAUUUUGGAAUCUUUUCUUUAUUCCUAUAUUCUGAAAUUUCAUGAUGAUGGUCUCUGUGUAAAUCAUUUUAUUGUUGUUGUUCAUUAUCGUGGAGACUCAGUGGGCCUUUUCAGCUGUCCUUCUUCUUCCCUCUGAAAAUUCACUUACUAGGUAUUUGACUUCUGCAUCACGUUUCUUUAACUUUGAGCCUUUUUGAUGAAAUAUUUUUCUGUUAUAAUAUUUUUUAUUUUCCAAGAGCUUAAUUACUUGCUGUGUUCCUUUUUAAAAAAUAAAAAACUGUUGUUCCUUAAUUUAAUUUCCAGCAUCUCUCUGAGGAUAUAUACGCAUAACUAUAUAUGUAUGUGUAUUUGAAUAGUAUAUCAUUGACAUGGUUUUACAUGGUUUCUGUAUAUAUGUCCAUGUAAUGUAUGUCUGAUAAAUAGUACAUAAGUCAAAUUAUUGUGAAUGUUAAAAAUGGCUUAAAAUAUUAUCAAGCAUUUCUGAUUUAGGCAAAGUGAAACCUUCCAGAGCUAACUUAAUUGUUUAGCUUAAUACAAGAAAAUAUUUUCUUUUCUAUCUGUGAAAGAAGGUUUGUUAUUUUAGUAAGUUUCGGUUCAAAAAGAGCAAUUAUAAAAAUGCCAAAGCCAUGACCCAUCACAAUCUCUCCUUUGAUGAGACUGCGGUUGAUGCUCUAUACCAGUGAUCCAUGGGUUCCCUGCUUGAUUACACAGGUAUGUUUAAACCCUGCAGUGAAUCAGUGUGUAUUGUUUCUGACAGGCUUUAAUCUGGAGAUAUUUAAUGAUACAGUACAGCCUCAUAGCUCUCUGUAACUCUCUUAAGGGGCCCACAUCAAAGGGAACAUUGUGGUUAUGGUAAUUUUAAAAUGUCUCUUGGUUUGUAUCUAACAGAUAAUAGAACAUACCCUGUUCCAUUCUAUGAUUUUUUUCCUUUUAAAUUUCUCUUAUUUUUAUCUUCUAGCACAUCUGAAUGCUCUGCUUACUUGAAGAACUACUCUUGUAUCCACAAUAUACUUGAUAUUUCACAUCUGGCUGCUUUCCAAAUGGCAGACUGGUUUUAAAACUCUCAGCAAAAUUCAGUUAAAUGUACCACUGUGUGUUGAUAUAAUAAUAAAGAUCUCUAUUAGUGGUCAUUGUUUAUUGCCUUUAUUAAUACUCUGGAUUUUUUUUUAAAUUUUCCUCUUCCAACAUGUAAAUCUCCAUUCUCAGAUAAUUUCUUACCACUGCUAAAG